rnacentral:rRNA from 1 species
UUCCGGUUGAUCCUGCCGGAGGUCACCGCUAUUGGAAUACGAUUAAGGCAUGCGAGUCGAGAGUCUUAGGGACUCGGCAGACGGCUCAGUAACACGUAGAUAAUCUGCCCUUAGGUGGGGGAUAACCUCGAGAAAUUGAGAAUAAUACCCCAUAGAUCUAAGAUGCUGGAAUGCUUUUAGAUUGAAAGCCUCGGCGCCUAAGGAUGAGUCUGCGGCCUAUCAGGUUGUAGUGAGUGUAACGGUCUCACUAGCCGACGACGGGUACGGGUCCUGAGAGGGAGAGCCCGGAGAUGGACUCUGAGACACGAGUCCAGGCCCCAAGGGGCGCAGCAGCUACGAAAACUUCACAAUGCGGGAAACCGCGAUGAGGGAAUUCCAAGUGCUGCAGUAUAACUGUAGCUGUUUAGUUGCCUAAAAAGCAAGUAGAGUAAGGGCUGGGUAAGACUGGUGCCAGCCGCCGCGGUAAUACCAGCAGCCCGAGUGGUGGCCACUUUUAUUGGGCCUAAAGCGUCCGUAGCCGGUUUGGUAAACCCUUGGGUAAAUCGAACAGCUCAACUGUUCGAAUUCUGAGGAGACUGCCAGACUUGGGACCGGGAGAGGUUGGAAGUACUUUUGGGGUAGGGGUGAAAUCCUGUAAUCCCAAAAGGACUACCGGUGGCGAAGGCGUCCAACUAGAACGGGUCCGACGGUAGGGGACGAAGCCCUGGGUCACGAACCGGAUUAGAUACCCGGGUAGUCCAGGGUGUAAACGCUGCAGACUUGGUGUUGGGGGUCCUACGAGGGCGUCCAGUGCCGGAGAAGAAGUUGAUAAGUCUGCCGGCUGGGGAGUACGGUCGCAGACUGAAACUUAUAGGAAUUGGCCGGGGGAGCACAGCAACGGGUGGAUCGUGCGGAUUUAUUGGGAUCAAC